UCUCAGCUUGCGCCGGCAGUCCCGACAGAGUCCUCAACGUUACUUGUUAGCAACUGUCGGUAGGGGUUGCGCUCGUUAUGGCACUUAAGCCGACACCUCACGGCACGAGCUGACGACAACCAUGCAGCACCUCGCAGUCUGUCCCGUGGGAAAUACGGCUUUCACCGUGUGUCAGUCUGCGUUUGAGCCCGGGUAAGGUUCCUCGCGUAUCAUCGAAUUAAACCACAUGUUCCUCCGCUUGUGCGGGCCCCCGUCAAUUCCUUUGAGUUUCACCGUUGCCGGCGUACUCCCCAGGUGGAAUACUUAACGCUUUCGCUUUACCACCCAGAUCUCGCUCGACCCGGACAGUUAGUAUUCAUCGUUUACUGCGUGGACUAC
rnacentral:misc_RNA from 1 species